rnacentral:rRNA from 1 species
CCCGCAUCAACAUUACGACCUGAGAAUAUUAGAAUUUCAAAUCCUUGUUGUUUAAACAUCUGAGCUAACUUGAUAACUGGCUCAUUUGGUUCAUCAAAUGCUAUGUGAGCUGGAUUGUUCGAGAGGUAUUGCAUGGCCGCCGUCAGUUCGUACCGCAAGGCGUUCUGUUAAGUCAGAUAACGAACGAGACCCUCAUCCCUAUUUGCCAACUGCGUCUCCGGACGUAGCGCACUAUAGGGAGACCGCUGUCGAUAAGGCAGAUGAAGGCGAGGGCAACGGUAGGUCAGUAUGAUCCGAAUGCCAUGGGCUACACGCGCAAUACAAAGGACGGGACAAUGGGCUGCAACUCCGAGAGGAACGACGCUAUCCCGAAACCCGUUCGUAGUUCGGAUUGAGGGCUGUAAUUCGCCCUCAUGAAGCUGGAUUAGGUAGUAAUCGCGUCUCAAUAGGGCGCGGUGAAUAUGCCCCUGCUCCUUGCACACACCGCCCGUCAAACCAUCUUAGUUGGGGGUGGGUGAGGCUGCCUUAACCAUGGGGUAUUCGAGCCUGCCUUCGACAAGGAGGGUUAAGUCGUAACAAGGUAUCUGU